rnacentral:rRNA from 1 species
UAACAAGGAUUCCCCUAGUAACUGCGAGUGAAGCGGGAAAAGCUCAAAUUUAAAAUCUGACAGUUUCACUGUCCGAGUUGUAAUCUGGAGAAGCAUUUUCCGUGUCGGACCGUGUACAAGUCUCUUGGAAUAGAGCGUCAUAGAGGGUGAGAAUCCCGUCCAUGACACGGACUACCGAUGCUUUGUGAUAUGCUCUCGAAGAGUCGAGUUGUUUGGGAAUGCAGCUCAAAAUGGGUGGUAAAUUCCAUCUAAAGCUAAAUAUUGGCGAGAGACCGAUAGCGAACAAGUACCGUGAGGGAAAGAUGAAAAGCACUUUGGAAAGAGAGUUAAACAGUACGUGAAAUUGUUGAAAGGGAAACGCUUGAAGUCAGUCGCGUUGAUUGAGACUCAGCCUUGCUUUGCAUGGUGUACUUCUCAGUUAACGGGUCAACAUCAAUUUCAGUUGGUGGAUAAAGGCAUUGGGAAUGUGGCACCUUCGGGUGUGUUAUAGACCUUUGUUGCAUACACUGACCGGGAUUGAGGAACGCAGCACGCCACUAAGGCCAGGGAUUUGUCCCAUGUAACGUGCUUAGGAUGUUGGCAUAAUGGCUUUAAGCGACCCGUCUUGAAACACGGACCAAGGAGUCUAACAUGCCUGCGAGUAUUAGGGUGGAAAACCCUUGUGCGUAAUGAAAGUGAAAGUUGGGACCUCUUGCGAGGGCACCGACGCCCGGCCCUGAAGUUUACUGACGGCGCUGCGGUAGAGCAUGUAUGUUGGGACCCGAAAGAUGGUGAACUAUGCCUGAAUAGGGUGAAGCCAGGGGAAACUCUGGUGGAGGCUCGUAGCGAUUCUGACGUGCAAAUCGAUCGUCAAAUUUGGG